rnacentral:lncRNA from 1 species
GCUUUUCGGAUGGAAGGAUGUCAUCAAUCAACGCCAAUGGGACUAUACUUUGGUUGCAAUCCAUCCAGAAUGCAGUUUGAUUUUCUAUAUUUUGCAUCAUGAGAAUAUGCUACUAUCAUAUGACAUGGAUCAUGGGAAAGUUCACGUUAUCCGCAAACUCAAAGAACAUUACUAUGGAGCUACAUACAUUCCAUAUGUUCCCUUGUUCACGGAGUCAUUGGUUGAUCAUGAAUAGAUAUGCUUCUCCCACACGGAGUCAUUGGCUGAUCAUGCAUAGAUAUGCUUCUCCCAGAGUAAAUGCCAACAACUGUUUUCGUAAGGUUACAGUGAUGUCUUUUCAAUUCCUGUGUCUUGAGCCGUGAUAUAAUUAAACUCUGGAGUGGCAACUUAGGUAUUUAAUUCCGUGAUACUUCUGUUUGUGCUAUGCAUGCAUACCCACUUUUAUUUUGUCAAUAACUUUAGUUAUACCAUGGAGAUCUUGUAACUUGACAUUACAUCAUCAGUGAUUCAGUUAAUCCAACCUUUUUGUGACUAGUUAGCAGCACUUUUAUCCAUGCAGAGGCGCUGCUUUUUGUAUUGAGUCAUAUGAGAAGAAUGAAUAACCUAAUAAGAGAAAUAAAGGCACAAAUUGUGUCUCAGUCUGGAUUAUUGAUGACUAUUGCAGUGGUGAAUGGCUCUUCAAGUACAACGUUAAAAUUUUCCAGCUUUUCGGAUGGAAGGAUGUCAUCAAUCAACGGGACUAUACUUUGGUUGCAAUCCAUCCAGAAUGCAGUUUGAUUUUCUGUAUUUUGAAUCGUGAGAAUAUGCUACUAUCAUAUGACAUGGAUCAUGGGAAAGUUCACGUUAUCCACAAACUCAAAGAAAAAUUGUAUGGAUCUCCAUACAUUCCAUAUGUCCCCUUGUUCACCGAGUCAUUGGCUGAUAGAUAUGCUUCUCCCAAAGUAAAUGCCAACAGCUAUUUUCUUAAGGUGACACAGAUGCCUUUCCAAUUCUUGGAUCUUGAGCUGUGACAAAAUUAAACCAUGGAGCAGCAACUUAGGUAUUUCUUUUCAUGAUAUUUCUGUUUGUGUUUUUUAUGCAUACCCACUUUUAUUUUGUCAGUAACUUUACUUAUACCAUGGAGAUCUUGUAACUUGACAUUACAUCAUCAGUGAUUCAGUUAAUCCAACCUUU